rnacentral:rRNA from 1 species
AACGCGAAGAACCUUACCUGGGUUUGACAUGGAGAGGACGACAUCAGAAAUGGUGUUUCCCCGCAAGGGGCCUUUUCACAGGUGCUGCAUGGCUGUCGUCAGCUCGUGCCGUGAGGUGUUGGGUUAAGUCCCGCAACGAGCGCAACCCUUGUCGUUAGUUGCCAGCGCGUAAUGGCGGGCACUCUAGCGAGACUGCCUCGGUUAACGAGGAGGAAGGUGAGGAUGACGUCAAGUCCGCAUGGCCCUUAUACCCAGGGCUACACACGUGCUACAAUGGCCGGUACAGAAGGCAGCGAAGUCGCGAGAUGGAGCAAAUCCAAAAAGCCGGCCCCAGUUCAGAUUGUAGUCUGCAACUCGACUACAUGAAGAUGGAAUUGCUAGUAAUGGCGAGUCAGCAACAUCGCCGUGAAUACGUUCCCGGGCCUUGUA